AUUGAACGCUGGCGGCAGGCCUAACACAUGCAAGUCGAGCGGAUGAAGGGAGCUUGCUCCUGGAUUCAGCGGCGGACGGGGGAGUAAUGCCUAGGAAUCUGCCUGGUAGUGGGGGAUAACGUCCGGAAACGGGCGCUAAUACCGCAUACGUCCUGAGGGAGAAAGUGGGGGAUCUUCGGACCUCACGCUAUCAGAUGAGCCUAGGUCGGAUUAGCUAGUUGGUGGGGUAAAGGCCGACCAAGGCGAGGAUCCGUAACUGGUCUGAGAGGAUGAUCAGUCACACUGGAACUGAGACCCGCCCCAGACUCCCACGGGAGGGAGCAGUGGGGAAUAUUGGACAAGAGGCGAAAGACUGAUCCAGCCAUGCCGCGUGUGGGAAGAAGGUCUUCGGAUUGUAAAGCACUUUAAGUUGGGAGGAAGGGGAGUAAGUUAAUACCUUGCUGUUUUGACGUUACCAACAGAAUAAGCCCCGGCUAACUUCGUGC
rnacentral:rRNA from 1 species